rnacentral:rRNA from 1 species
UACGGAGGGUGCAAGCGUUAUCCGGAUUCACUGGGUUUAAAGGGUGCGUAGGCGGGCAGGUAAGUCCGUGGUGAAAUCUCUGAGCUUAACUCAGAAACUGCCAUGGAUACUAUUUGUCUUGAAUAUUGUGGAGGCAAGCGGAAUAUGUCAUGUAGCGGUGAAAUGCUUAGAUAUGACAUAGGACACCCAUUGCGAAGGCAGCUUGCUACACAAUGAUUGACGCUGAGGCACGAAAGCGUGGGGAUCAAACAGG